GAUGAAGAACGCAGCGAAAUGCGAUAAGUAGUGUGAAUUGCAGAAUUCAGUGAAUCAUCGAGUCUUUGAACGCACAUUGCGCCCUCUGGUAUUCCGGAGGGCAUGCCUGUCCGAGCGUCAUUGCUGCCCUCAAGCACGGCUUGUGUGUUGGGCCCCGCCCCCCGAUCCCGGGGGGCGGGCCCGAAAGGCAGCGGCGGCACCGCGUCCGGUCCUCGAGCGUAUGGGGCUUUGUCACCCGCUCUGUAGGCCCGGCCGGCGCUUGCCGAUCAACCAAACUUUUUUCCAGGUUGACCUCGGAUCAGGUAGGGAUACCCGCUGAACUUAAGCAUAUCAAUAAGCGGAGGA
rnacentral:misc_RNA from 1 species